GCGCUAACUACCGCUAUCUUAGUAGCGGAAGUUACCGCUACUAAAAUAGUUGUAACGUCUGCUAUCAAGGUAGCUGUAACUUCCGCUAUUAAGAUAGCGGAAGUUACUGU
rnacentral:pre_miRNA from 1 species